GGAGAGUUGUCCGAGUGGCUUAUGGUGCAACCUUGGAAAGGUUGUGUAGGGAAACCUACCGGGAGUUCGAAUCUCCCACUCUCCGCCA
rnacentral:tRNA from 1 species